rnacentral:rRNA from 1 species
GCAUAACGCGAAGAACCUUACCAGGUCUUGACAUCCCUCUGACCGGUUCAGAGAUGGACCUUUCCUUCGGGACAGAGGAGACAGGUGGUGCAUGGUUGUCGUCAGCUCGUGUCGUGAGAUGUUGGGUUAAGUCCCGCAACGAGCGCAACCCUUAGUUCUAGUUGCCAGCACGAAAGGUGGGCACCCUAGAGCGACUGCCGGUGACAAAACCGGAGGAAGGCGGGGAGUGACGUCAAAUCAUCAUGCCCCGUUACUGACCUGGGCUACACCACGUACUACAAUGGCCGGUACAGCGGGCAGCGAAGGAGCGAUCCGGAGCCAAUCCUAGAAAAGCCGGUCUCAGUUCGGAUUGCAGGCUGCAACUCGCCU